CCUACGGGUGUCUGCAGUGAGGAAUAUUGGUCAAUGGUCGCGAGCCUGAACCAGCCAAGUAGCGUGAAGGAUGACUGCCCUACGGGUUGUAAACUUCUUUUAUAAAGGAAUAAAGUGAGGCACGUGUGCCUUUUUGUAUGUACUUUAUGAAUAAGGAUCGGCUAACUCAGUGCCAGCAGCCGCGGUAAUACGGAGGAUCCGAGCGUUAUCCGGAUUUAGUGGGUUUAAAGGGAGCGUAGAUGGGUUGUUAAGUCAGUUGUGAAAGUUUGCGGCUAAACCGUAAAAUUGCAAGUGAUACUGGCAGACUUGAGUACAGUUGAGGUAGGCGGAAUUCGUGGUGUAGCGGUGAAAUGCUUAGAUAGCACGAAGAACUCCGAUUGCGAAGGCAGCCUACUAAACUGCCACUGACAUUGAUGCUCGAAAGUGUGGGUAUCAAACAGGAUUAGAUACCCCAGUAGUC
rnacentral:rRNA from 1 species